rnacentral:rRNA from 1 species
UUACCACGGCAGGGUUCGUGACUGGGGUGAAGUCGUAACAAGGUAGCCGUAUCGGAAGGUGCGGCUGGAUCACCUCCUUUCUAGA